UGAUGUCUAGUAUAGCAUUAUACCGCGAAACUGCGAAUGGCUCAUUAAAUCAGUUAUCGUUUAUUUGAUAGUACCUUACUACUUGGAUAACCGUGGUAAUUCUAGAGCUAAUACAUGCUAAAAAUCCCGACUUCGGAAGGGAUGUAUUUAUUAGAUUAAAAACCAAUGCCCUUUGGGCUCACUGGUGAUUCAUGAUAACUUCUCGAAUCGCAUGGCCUUGCGCCGGCGAUGGUUCAUUCAAAUUUCUGCCCUAUCAACUUUCGACGGCUGGGUCUUGGCCAGCCAUGGUGACAACGGGUAACGGAGGGUUAGGGCUCGACCCCGGAGAAGGAGCCUGAGAAACGGCUACUACAUCCAAGGAAGGCAGCAGGCGCGCAAAUUACCCAAUCCCGACACGGGGAGGUAGUGACAAUACAUACUGAUACAGGGCUCUUUUGGGUCUUGUAAUUGGAAUGAGUACAAUUUAAAUCCCUUAACGAGGAACAAUUGGAGGGCAAGUCUGGUGCCAGCAGCCGCGGUAAUUCCAGCUCCAAUAGCGUAUAUUAAAGUUGUUGCGGUUAAAAAGCUCGUAGUUGAACCUUGGGCCUGGCUGGCCGGUCCGCCUCACCGCGUGCACUGGUACGGUCGGGCCUUUCCCUCUGGGGAACCGCAUGCCCUUCACUGGGUGUGUCGGGGAACCAGGACUUUUACUUUGAAAAAAUUAGAGUGUUCAAAGCAGGCUUAUGCUCGGAUACAUUAGCAUGGAAUAAUAGAAUAGGACGUGCGGUUCUAUUUUGUUGGUUUCUAGGACCGCCGUAAUGAUUAAUAGGGACAGUCGGGGGCAUCAGUAUUCAAUUGUCAGAGGUGAAAUUCUUGGAUUUAUUGAAGACUAACUACUGCGAAAGCAUUUGCCAAGGAUGUUUUCAUUAAUCAGGAACGAAAGUUAGGGGAUCGAAGACGAUCAGAUACCGUCGUAAUCUUAACCAUAAACUAUGCGAACUAGGGAUCGGACGAUGUAUU
rnacentral:rRNA from 1 species